CCUACGGGUGGCAGCAGUGAGGAAUAUUGGUCAAUGGGCGAGAGCCUGAACCAGCCAAGUCGCGUGAGGGAGUACUGCCCUAUGGGUUGUAAACCUCUUUUGUCGGGGAGCAAAAGCCGGACGUGUCCGGCUGUGAGAGUCCCCGAAGAAAAAGCAUCGGCUAACUCCGUGCCAGCAGCCGCGGUAAUACGGGGGAUGCGCGCGUUAUCCGGUUUUAUUGGGUUUAAGGGGUGCGCAGGCGGAUUUUUAAGUCAGCGGUAACAUCGUGGGGCUCAACCACAUCCAGCCGUUGAAACUGGGGAUCUAGAGUGUUCGAGAGGUAUGCGGAAUUCGUGGUGUAGCGGUGAAAUGCAUAGAUAGCACGCAGAACCCCGAUUGCGAAGGCAGCAUACCGGUGAACAACUGACGCUCAGGCACGAAAGCGUGGGUAUCGAACAGGAUUAGAUACCCGUGUAGUC
rnacentral:rRNA from 1 species